rnacentral:rRNA from 1 species
CGGCAACAGCUCAAAUUUGAAAUCUGGCUCUUUUAGAGUCCGAGUUGUAGUCUGGAGAAGUGUUUUCCGUGUUGGACCGUGUACAAGUCCCUUGGAACAGGGCGUCAUAGAGGGUGAGAAUCCCGUCUUUGACACGGACUACCAAUGCUUUGUGAUGCGCUCUCAAA